rnacentral:tRNA from 1 species
GGCACAGUGGCACAGUGGUUACGGAACUGGGCUUGUAACCGGAAGGUCAUAGGUUCGAUUCCUGGUUAGGACA